UCUUCGAGAACUUCGGUUUCCACCCACACUCCAAAGACGUACAGAUGGGUCAUCCAUCAGGAACCAUCAGAAUCUCCGGAAAUUUGAAAGCUGGAAAUCAGACCAUCCACUUUCUCAUUAACUAUCUCCUUCAAAACUGUAGUUCAUCAGAUGCUGGACAUUUAUUCAUUUCAGGCUAUACUAAUUCCGUUUUGUAUUGGACCCUUAUUCUCAAGUAUUUUCGAGAGUAUUUUUCUGUGCAGCCAGAUAUAAAAUAUUUGUUUAUUUCCUCCCA